rnacentral:rRNA from 1 species
UGCGUAGGCGGAACAGACAGUCAGUAGUGAAAUCUUGCGGCUUAACCGUAAAACUGCCAUUGAUACUUUUGUUCUUGAGUACAGUUGAGGUGGUUGGAAUGCGUAGUGUAGCGGUGAAAUGCAUAGAUAUUACGCAGAACGCCAAUUGCGAAGGCAGAUCACUAAACUGUAACUGACGCUGAGGCACGAAAGCGUGGGGAGCGAACAGGAUUAGAUACCCUGGUAGUC